UGGGGAAUUGUGUAAAGGCAGCACGAAUGGCUCUGAACCAUUUAGUCGGGGUUCGAAUCCCUGUUCCCCAG
rnacentral:tRNA from 1 species